ensembl:misc_RNA
GGUGUUCCUAGGUUUGGAAACAUAAAUCCCAGGGGAAGUGAGCUGAAGAACAUUUUAUGCAUCACUCAUCCUAUUAUGAGCCCUAUGCUGCUCCAUCUCUACAAGG